GACGAACGCUGGCGGCGUGCUUAACACAUGCAAGUCGAACGGAAAGGCCCUGCUUUUGUGGGGUGCUCGAGUGGCGAACGGGUGAGUAACACGUGAGUAACCUGCCCUUGACUUUGGGAUAACUUCAGGAAACUGGGGCUAAUACCGGAUAGGAGCUCCUGCUGCAUGGUGGGGGUUGGAAAGUUUCGGCGGGUGGGGAUGGACUCGCGGCUUAUCAGCUUGUUGGUGGGGUAGUGGCUUACCAAGGCUUUGACGGGUAGCCGGCCUGAGAGGGUGACCGGCCUCAUUGGGACUGGGGUACGGCCCAGACUCCUACGGGAGGCAGCAGUGGGGAAUAUUGCACAAUGGGCGGAAGCCUGAUGCAGCAACGCCGCGUGCGGGAUGACGGCCUUCGGGUUGUGAACCGCUUUCGCCUGUGACGAAGCGUGAGUGACGGUAAUGGGUAAAGAAGCACCGGCUAACUACGUG
rnacentral:rRNA from 1 species